GAAGCCGGCACGGAAGGUUCGAUUUUGCCGGGGGUUGCUCUUACCUCAGCUUUUGGAGGCGUGGAGAACCCGCGCUGUUCUGCGUCGCUUGCGGAGUGAAUUCGAGGCGGUUUCUGCUGGGUUAGGGCGGUGGCAUGGUACCAGAUAUGACCUCCCUGAACUGGUUGCUUGCAAGAGACUUUCUUCAGAGAUUUCAGGUUACCCUCAAGAUACAGAAGCCAAAUUAUGGAGUCCACAAAAAGUAGUGAGAAAUCCGGAACAGCCUCCUGGAAUCUUCACUCUGGGCCAUUCCUGAUGCUCAGCACCACCCCAGAUCUCCAGCUUCCUAGUAGGUUACUUAGUGUCUUGGCUUCUCUACAGAAGACUUCAAAACUCUUAAGAAAACCACAAUGAGAUACCACCUCACACCAAUUGGAUGGCUAUUAGGAAAAAAAAAAAAGAAAGAAAAUGACAAGUGUUAACAAGGA